UGUCAGAAAAGUUACCACAGGG
rnacentral:ncRNA from 2 species